UUGUCCAUAAGCUCAGUCGGUAGAGCACAAGGGUUGUGGGUUCGAAUCCCACUUCGGUGAA
rnacentral:tRNA from 1 species